rnacentral:rRNA from 1 species
UACGGGGGGGGCAAGCGUUGUUCGGAAUUACUGGGCGGAAAGGGCUCGUAGGCGGCCAACUAAGUCGGAUGUGAAAUCCCCAGGCUUAACCUGGGAACUGCAUCCGAUACUGGAUGGCUUGAAUCCGGGAGAGGGAUGCAGAAUUCCAGGUGUAGCGGUGAAAUGCGUAGAUAUCGUAAGGAAGACCAGUGGCGAAGGCGGGUCUCUGGACAGUUCCUGACGCUGAGGCACGAAGGCCAGGGGAGCAAACGGG